rnacentral:rRNA from 2 species
ACGCCGCGUGAGUGAUGAAGGCUUUCGAGUCGUAAAGCUCUUUGAUCAGGGAUGAUAAUGACAGUACCUGAAAAACAAGCCACGGCUAACUACGUGCCAGCAGCCGCGGUAAUACGUAGGUGGCGAGCGUUGUCCGGAAUUACUGGGCGUAAAGGAUGCGUAGGUGGAUAUUUAAGUGGGAUGUGAAAUCCCCGGGCUCAACCCGGGAACUGCAUUCCAAACUGGAUGUCUAGAGUGCAGGAGAGGAAAGCGGAAUUCCUAGUGUAGCGGUGAAAUGCGUAGAUAUUAGGAGGAACACCAGUGGCGAAGGCGGCUUUCUGGACUGUAACUGACACUGAGGCAUGAAAGCGUGGGUAGCAAACAGGAUUAGAUACCCUGGUAGUCCACGCCGUAAACGAUGGGUACUAGGUGUAGGAGGUAUCGACCCCGUCUGUGCCGUCGUUAACACAAUAAGUACCCCGCCUGGGGAGUACGGUCGCAAGACUAAAACUCAAAGGAAUUGACGGGGGCCCGCACAAGCAGCGGAGCAUGUGGUUUAAUUCGAAGCAACGCGAAGAACCUUACCUAGACUUGACAUCUCCUGCAUUACCCUUAAUCGGGGAAGCCCUUCGGGGCAGGAAGACAGGUGGUGCAUGGUUGUCGUCAGCUCGUGUCGUGAGAUGUUGGGUUAAGUCCCGCAACGAGCGCAACCCUUAUUUUUAGUUGCUACCAUUCAGUUGAGCACUCUAAAGAGACUGCCCGGGUUAACCGGGAGGAAGGUGGGGAUGACGUCAAAUCAUCAUGCCCCUUAUGUCUAGGGCUACACACGUGCUACAAUGGUGAGAACAAAGAGACGCAAGACCGCGAGGUGGAGCAAAUCUCACAAAACUCAUCCCAGUUUCGAUUGCAGGCUGAAACUCCGCUGCAUGAAGCCGGAAUUGCUA